rnacentral:rRNA from 1 species
UGGCGCACGGGUGAGUAACACGUAGAUCAUCUCCCCUCGAGUGGUGGAUAACUCUCCGAAAGGAGAGCUAAUACAGCAUGAGACCACGGCUCCGAUGGAGCUGCGGCCAAAGCAGGCCACUACAUGUAAGCUUGCGCUUGAGGAUGAGUCUGCGGCCCAUCAGCUAGUUGGUAGGGUAAAGGCCUACCAAGGCGAAGACGGGUAGCUGGUCUGAGAGGAUGAACAGCCACACUGGAACUGAGACACGGUCCAGACUCCUACGGGAGGCAGCAGUGGGAAUCUUGCGCAAUGGGCGAAAGCCUGACGCAGCGACGCCGCGUGAGCGAUGAAGGCCUUCGGGUUGUAAAGCUCUGUGGGGAGGAAAGAAUAAGGCAUGGCUAAUAUCCAUGUCGAUGACGGUACCUCCUUAGCAAGCACCGGCUAACUCUGUGCCAGCAGCCGCGGUAA